GGGAACUACACAUGGGCACAGCUUACAGGUGGAAUGAUGACUCACACCUGAAGAUAUUUUGACCUUUGUAGUCUUAGGGCAAAAACUAAGGUCCUGUGUCUUCAACUUGUAGGAUGGUCACGGAAUAUUACAACUUGCAUGCACGUUGAAUGAAGCCCUCAAAUGCUACAAAGAGUGCCAAAAUAGAGCCCAGCUAAAACUGUGGUAAAACUGUGGCUGUUGUAUGCAAACUCAAAUAAAAGUAAGGAUUAUCAGCCUUCCACAUUAACAGAACCCACUGUUGAGGUUCUGAAUCGCUCACCAAGAGGCAAUCAAGUUGGAAUUGUGACUCUCAUGCAUCAAUCCAAUCGACAGAUGAGAUGAUAACACCAAGUCCAGGAUUUAGAACACCUGGGGGCUGUGCUUCCCCUAUCAAAACACAGUCUGUUGGUGAGAUUUGGGCUCUCGUGCAUUGAUUUAGUCCACUGUUGUGACUGACUUGCAUAGUUGAACUCAAACCCACAAGAGGUGUUGACUCUUAUACCUUUAGCAGGAAAAUGUCCCGGAUUGUGAAUUUCUGCUAUUGACCGGGUCCAGCUGGAUCCAGGUAUGAGAGUCAUCAUCUCACCUGUGAGCUGUGACCAUGUAUAUGUCGCAAUUUCACCUGUCAUCAGGAAGCAGACAUGAGAGUCCUAUCACCUGGGUGCUGGAUGAAAAAAGAUGCAAAGAAGACAUAUUUGCUUUUUAUCCACACAUCAUUUCCAAUCACUAUGCUGAGCAAAGUCAAUGUGAGCAGAGCUGAGAAUAGCAGUUUUCUGGCAGGACGGCCACUUCUGAGCAAAAAAUGACACAAUAAAA
rnacentral:lncRNA from 1 species